rnacentral:rRNA from 1 species
GUAACAAGGUUUCCGUAGGUGAACCUGCGGAAGGAUCAUUCACACGCAUCCAACUUGAAUUCAUUGUGAACCAUCUUCUGUGAGUUGUGCUCUUGGCUGGAGACAACUUGUCUACAACCUUGUGCAGAAUCUCGCGGGUAGUUCGGGUGAUAUUGGACCGUCUUCCUCUAUUGUCUGGCUACCAUUGUUGUCUGACCAAUGUCUUGCAUGAUGACCUAUCUUUUUAAGAUGUGGGUGACCACAUGUUUGAUUCACAUACAACUUUCAGCGACGGAUGUCUCGGCUCGAACAACGAUGAAGGGCGCAGCGAAGUGUGAUAAGCAUUGUGAAUUGCAGAAUUCCGUGAACCAAUAGGGAUUUGAACGUAUACUGCGCUUUCGGGAUAUCCCUGAAAGCAUGCCUGCUUCAGUGUCAAUAUUCUCUCAUGCCACUGUCAUCUUGUCAUGUGCUUUGCACAUGCAACUGACAGCAGUGUGUGUCUGUGCAUUAAGGUGCUCUUCCUGCCCCUGAUGCAUUGAAUCCAUGGGUUUUGUGCUCUGUCAGCAACUUGAUAAACACCUUGUGCUUUGUGUGUAACCUGUUGCUUUGUCUGUUGCACUGAUAACCUGUCCUCCUGUCUGCCACUUCAUUUGUGGCUUCCUUCCAUGACAUGAAGUUAGGUAAGCAAACCCGCUGAAUUUAAGCAUAUAAGUAAGCGGAGGAUAAGAAACUAAAUAGGAUUCCCUCAGUAAUGGCGAAUGAACAGGGAUAAGCUCAGCAUGGAAAUUGGGGCCCUCGGCCUUGAAUUGUAGUCUUGAGAUGUGUUACCAACGGAGGCGCAGAUGUAAGCCUCUUGGAAAAGAGCGUCAGGGAGGGUGAGAGUCCCGUAUGUCAUCUGCAGUUCUCUGUGCACGGUGCAUGUUCUAAGAGUCACGUUCCUCGGGAUUGGAGCGCAAAUUGGGUGGUAAAUUUCAUCUAAAGCUAAAUAUUGGUUCGAGACCGAUAGCAAACAAGUACCAUGAGGGAAAGGUGAAAAGGACUUUGAAAAGAGAGUUAAAAGUGCCUGAAAUUGCUGAAAGGGAAGCGAAUGGAACCAGUUGUUCUUGGUGAGUAUUGGUGUUGUCUAAAGUGAUGGCUUGCCACUUCAACGCAAGUGUGGUGGCAGGUUUUGAUCUGGAUGCGAUACUGCUUCUCGCCUUGCAUGUCAACGUCAGUUCAUAAUUGAGGAAAACUCUAAGGACAUGGUAAUUCGCUUCCGAGUGACUGAAUGUCCUCAGUUGAACUCAUUUUUGAACUGCUCUCUGUGUGUCUGGUAGCACUGCUUCAUGUGCUUGCCUGCGAUCUUCUGCUCUGCAUGAAGGUUGUUGGUGCCAGGAGCAUGUCCUUGACAUUAGAACGAUGACGAAAUGGUUUUAUUCGACCCGUCUUGAAACACGGACCAAGG